rnacentral:rRNA from 1 species
CCUACGGGCGGCAGCAGUGGGGAAUAUUGCACAUUGGGCGCAAGCCUGAUGCAGCCAUGCCGCGUGUGUGAAGAAGGCCUUCGGGUUGUAAAGCACUUUCAGCGGGGAGGAAGGCGGUGAGGUUAAUAACCUCAUCGAUUGACGUUACCCGCAGAAGAAGCACCGGCUAACUCCGUGCCAGCAGCCGCGGUAAUACGGAGGGUGCAAGCGUUAAUCGGAAUUACUGGGCGUAAAGCGCACGCAGGCGGUCUGUCAAGUCGGAUGUGAAAUCCCCGGGCUCAACCUGGGAACUGCAUUCGAAACUGGCAGGCUAGAGUCUUGUAGAGGGGGGUAGAAUUCCAGGUGUAGCGGUGAAAUGCGUAGAGAUCUGGAGGAAUACCGGUGGCGAAGGCGGCCCCCUGGACAAAGACUGACGCUCAGGUGCGAAAGCGUGGGGAGCAAACAGGAUUAGAUACCCGAGUAGUC